rnacentral:misc_RNA from 1 species
GAAAUGCGAUAAGUAAUGUGAAUUGCAGAAUUCAGUGAAUCAUCGAAUCUUUGAACGCACAUUGCGCCCGCCAGCACUCUGGCGGGCAUGCCUGUUCGAGCGUCAUUUCAACCCUCAGAACCCCUUGCGAGAUCUGGCGUUGGGGAUUGGCAUCCAGUCAGCCCCGAAAUCUAGUGGCGGUCCCUCCGCGACCUCCCCUGUGCAGUAGCGAUACCUCGCAGCGGGACAGCGGUCUGACCACGCCGUAAAACCCCCAACUUCUCAAGGUUGACCUCGAAUCAGGUAGAAAUACCCGCUGAACUUAGGC